rnacentral:rRNA from 1 species
AUGGUGUGGGAUAGUUGGGCACCGCCUAAGUGCAAAUUCUUUGCCUGGCUUGUUAUCAAGGAUAGGGUCUGGACCGCCGAUCGUCUUCAGCGGAGGGGUUGGCCAAACUGCAACUUAUGCCAGCUUUGCACGAGGGAACCGGAGACCGCGGCGCAUCUCCUCUUCAAAUGUAGGUACUCCACUCGAAUUUGGAAUGCGGUCAGAGCUUGGGUGGACGCGCCGGAGUUGGAUGUAGCGGCAUGGACCGAUAUACCCUCGGUCAGCGAGUGGUGGACUUCGGUGGUUCUCACUCGUGGUCAUAGGAAGAAAGCGGCGUCUUCUCUUAUCAUGCUUGUUUCUUGGGAGGUCUGGAAAAAGAGAAACGCAAGAGUUUUUCAGCAAACUUGUAGGCUGCCAUCUAUGGUGGUCGAAGGCAUUAAGGCAGAGGCGAAGAACUAG